UAAAAGGGUCGGUUGGCUAUGUAUGCCACGCUCGUCUUUCAAAUGAUGAGUGCUGUAUGGUUAUCAAGACAUAUGGCCGACACAAUUUGUGGAUUAUGAGAACCACCACUCCUCUCCUCCUCCGCAGGUGGCCUCGC